rnacentral:rRNA from 1 species
GACAGAGGGUGCAAACGUUGUUCGGAUUUACUGGGCGUAAAGCGCGUGUAGGCGGCUUUGCAAGUCGGAUGUGAAAGCCCACGGCUCAACCGUGGAAGUGCAUCCGAAACUGCAUGGCUGGAGUCUCGGAGAGGAAGGUGGAAUGCUUGGUGUAGAGGUGAAAUUCGUAGAUAUCAAGCGGAACACCGGUGGCGAAGGCGGCCUUCUGGACGAUGACUGACGCUGAGACGCGAAAGCGUGGGGAGCAAACAGG